CCCUUAUAUGUUCUGGGCCGCACGUGUACUACACUGAUGCAUGCAAUAAGUUUAACUAUACCGAAAGGUUUUGGUAAAUCUUUCAAAGUGCAUCGUGCUUGGGAUAGAUCUUUGUAAUUGUAGAUCUUGAACCAGGAAUUCCUAGUAAGCAUGAGUCAUCAACUCAUGUUGAUUACGUCCCUGCCCUUUGUACACACCGCCCGCCACUUCUACCGAUUGAGUGAUUUGGUGAAUUCUUUGGACUAAUCAAAAUAUUUGAUUAUAAAUUGUGUAAACCAUAUUACUUAGAGGAAGAAUAAAGCGUAACA
rnacentral:rRNA from 1 species